GUAAAAUACAAAGAGAAUUACAAUGGUAAAAAUUCACACUAUCAUAAGUGGGUAUGCUGACAGAGUAUUGUUGAGGGAUGGCUUUACUUGGGAAAUAUAUAGGGAUUCCAGUAUUCUUAAACUGUGUCUAUUACAGGUGGCGAGGAUACGUUGGUGAUUUUUAAGGAAGCAUCACAUGCAGACCAUUUCCUACAUUACCUUAACUCACAACAUGACAAUAUCAAGUUCACUAUGGAAUCUGAAAUAGACUCACAAAUCCCCUUCCUUGACCUAAACAUCACAAAAAUCAAUGGUAGACUUUCCACCUCUAUUUAUCGUAAACCUACAUUUUCUGGCCUCGGUAUUAGUUUUUUCAGCUUUUGCAGUUUCCGGUUCAAAAUCAAUUCAGUCCGUACCCUCUUACACCGUGCCUUUGCUCUGUCUUCUUCUUACCUAAAUUUCCAUAAUGAAGUUACUUUCCUAAAAGAUGUUUUCUAUAACAAUGGCUUCACCACCAACCUGUUUGAGAAAACUCUGAAUAACUUUCUCCAAAGUAAAUACCUUCUUAAACAUCCAAUUACCACUGUUGCCAAAGAAACAAUCUAUUUACGUAUUCCAUUUUUAGGUGAGGUUUCCAAGAAAUUAGAAAGGGGUCUAUAUGAAAAACUUACAAAAUAUUAUCCUGAUAAACAUUUUCGUAUUGUGUCUACAAAUAGUCUAUGUAUAGGUAGUUUUUUCCACUUUAAGGACACUCUGCCAACUGCCUUACGCUCGUCGGCUGUUUAUUGUUUCACUUGUCCCAGCUGCCAGGCUGAGUAUGUGGGUAGCACCUUGCGCUCACUUAUAAACCGAGCCAGCGAGCAUUUAGGCCAGUCUGCCAGAACAGGGCGCCCGCUACACAACGCCCCAUUUUCCGCGAUACGGGACCACUGCCUCUCAUACCACUGAUGAUGACAUAAGAUGAAAUGUCGAAACGUUUGGCCCAUUAAAGAUGCUGCUCGUA